rnacentral:lncRNA from 1 species
AAGCAAGGAAGUAAGCCACCUUGCUCCUCAAUAGUGUGGCUGGUGUGUUUCUUGACGUGGUCGGAUCUUAAAAACAGCUGUACUUCUAAGUUCCUGGUGAGGAAUUGUAUGGAAACGCAAUAACCACAUCGUGUUUGGACAGAUGGGUCAUGAGAAAAACCAAGAUUCACUCGCAAAACAAUAUUCCUUUCAAAAGUACCAAGAAAUGUGAGGCCCUUUCAGGGCAUCACACAAGAAUGCAUAGGCAACAAAACGUUCAGCAAAAUUCAUAGCUGAGUCAGUUGCAUAAGUCGAGGUUGCUCUGCAAUCCUCAUGGCCUUCAAAGCGCAAGCCCCAGCACUGUUUGUCUCUCGCCCCAGCAUUUGCCCCGAGAAGGCACAAGUUUUACAAACAGUGCCCAGCAAAUACCGCAACCAGGUACCUGCCACCUUUCUGUUCCACGAGAAUGACAGGGGGGCCUGUUAUUUCCAGCUCAGGAAACGAGACAGCUACUGAGCUAAAUAUAUCAUGUGCUCCAGAGCUUCUCCUAUUUCAGGCAAAAAGACCACUAGACCCCACCCCAUACAUGUGGUGCUUUGGGGCAUUUGUGAGUAGCAGAUGCCGAGUGUUGGCAUUUGCAUGGCAUGUGCACAUGGAUGUGUCCGGUGUAUGCGAGGC